GUUGAGUCACGGGUCGAUUUAAUCACGACUUAUGAGUGACAAUAUACUCGAUGUCGAAGGCAUUGUAACCCAACAAGUGGGGAGUUCAAUUUGGUUGGGACAAAUUGAACGAUCUGCGGUAGCAGCGAUAAAUGACGUGGUGUGGUUGGAAGUUGAGCCAUGCCCGGAUGUUGUUGUUACUUUGUGAUGCUGAUGCGAUUUGUUAGUUGUUGCGGUGAUGUCAAGUUGUUUGGGGAUCUUAGUUUUAUGCUUAACUAGUAUCUUCAUGAGGCAUGCACUAUCAAUCCGAUUGUAUGGCAUGUUGUUGUUUGAUUGUUGCCUUACGAUUGGAUUGUUGGUGUAACCGAUGACAUGAUUUGGCUUGUUAAUCUUAAAAUUGGGGUUGGUUUAUUGUGUUGUUGGUGAUGACAUUCGUCUCGAGGUGAUGCGGUGUCAUGUUGCCUGUGUAUCCUGGUAUUGAGCUAUUUAGCUUAAAACAUGUGGAUUUUCGGUUUGUGACACGGCAUCGCUCCCUUGGUUGAUGAAAGUCGUCCAACGAUGCGGUGGUUUGUUUGUUUUCUUCUCGCAUCGCUCGGUGCAUUCUGUGGUCAUUUUGGCUGUUGGCAUCUUACUUGGCAAUUGAGCUUGGUGGGUUGCUACUGGUUGGGUGUCUUCGGGGAUGUCUACCGUAAAGGUGCAUGAGUGGUGUUUGGUUUGUUACGGGUGGUUGGCUCUUUGCUUGCGCAACAACUUCCACCCGGCAUACCUCUUCAGUCUUGUGUCAAUGCUUGUAUUGCAUUGAAUGCAUGGUGGGUUUCUUGUGUUGCAUGCCUAAUUAAUGGUAUCCCUUGAUGAAUUGGUUUUCCUUUCGUCUUGCAUUGCCUAUGCGAUGUGAGAUGAAUCUUGAAGCAGCCUUUGUGAUCCACUCUUUUGAUGCAUACGCAUUGAUUUUGUGGCCCAUUGAGUGUUGCUUGGUCUCAUGGAUAUGGAACCUGGUGUGGGCAUGGAAUCUUAAUGGUUCCUUGUUUGCCCAAGUUUAGCUUUUCUAAAACGAUUGUCU
rnacentral:misc_RNA from 1 species